rnacentral:rRNA from 1 species
GACAGAUGGGAGCUUGCUCCCUGAUGUUAGCGGCGGACGGGUGAGUAACACGUGGGUAACCUGCCUGUAAGACUGGGAUAACUCCGGGAAACCGGGGCUAAUACCGGAUGCUUGUUUGAACCGCAUGGUUCAAACAUAAAAGGUGGCUUCGGCUACCACUUACAGAUGGACCCGCGGCGCAUUAGCUAGUUGGUGAGGUAACGGCUCACCAAGGCGACGAUGCGUAGCCGACCUGAGAGGGUGAUCGGCCACACUGGGACUGAGACACGGCCCAGACUCCUACGGGAGGCAGCAGUAGGGAAUCUUCCGCAAUGGACGAAAGUCUGACGGAGCAACGCCGCGUGAGUGAUGAAGGUUUUCGGAUCGUAAAGCUCUGUUGUUAGGGAAGAACAAGUGCCGUUCAAAUAGGGCGGCACCUUGACGGUACCUAACCAGAAAGCCACGGCUAACUACGUGCCAGCAGCCGCGGUAAUACGUAGGUGGCAAGCGUUGUCCGGAAUUAUUGGGCGUAAAGGGCUCGCAGGCGGUUUCUUAAGUCUGAUGUGAAAGCCCCCGGCUCAACCGGGGAGGGUCAUUGGAAACUGGGGAACUUGAGUGCAGAAGAGGAGAGUGGAAUUCCACGUGUAGCGGUGAAAUGCGUAGAGAUGUGGAGGAACACCAGUGGCGAAGGCGACUCUCUGGUCUGUAACUGACGCUGAGGAGCGAAAGCGUGGGGAGCGAACAGGAUUAGAUACCCUGGUAGUCCACGCCGUAAACGAUGAGUGCUAAGU